UGGGGAAUCUUGCACAAUGGGGGAAACCCUGAUGCAGCGACGCCGCGUGAACGAUGGAGCCCUUCGGGGUGUAAAGUUCUUUCGACAGGAACGAUAAUGACGGUACCUGGAGAAGAAGCUGCGGCUAACUACGUGCCAGCAGCCGCGGUAAUACGUAGGCAGCGAGCGUUGUUCGGAGUUACUGGGCGUAAAGAGUGCGUAGGCGGCGAGCCAAGUUUGGUGUGAAAUCUCCCGGCUUAACCGGGAGGGUGCGCCGAAAACUGGUUGGCUGGAGUAUGGGAGAGGAAAGCGGAAUUCCUGGUGUAGCGGUGAAAUGCGUAGAUAUCAGGAGGAACACCUGCGGUGUAGACAGCUUUCUGGACCAAAACUGACGCUGAGGCACGAAAGCGUGGGUAGCAAACA
rnacentral:rRNA from 1 species